rnacentral:rRNA from 1 species
AUCGAACGCUGGCGGCAGGCCUAACACAUGCAAGUCGAACGAGUGGCGGACGGGUGUGUAAUGUCUGGGAACCUGCGUGAUGGAGGGGGAUAACUGCUGGAAACGGUAGCUAAUACUGCUUACCAUUCUUUGUGCCCUCGUGGGAUUAGCGAGUUGGUGGGGUAACGGCUCACCAAGGCGACGAUCCCUAGCUGGUCUGAGAGGAUGACCAGCCACACGGGAACUGAGACACGGUCCAGACUCCUACGGGAGGCAGCAGUGGGGAAUAUUGGACAAUGGGCGAAAGCCUGAUGCAGCCAUGCCGCGUGUGUGAAGAAGGCGUUCGGGUUGUAAAGUACUUUUAGCAGGGAGGCGGUACCCAAAGAGAAAGCACCGGCUAACUCCGUGCCAGCAGCCGCGGUAAUAC